CACCCACAUCAUGUUGAAACACUAGUUCCCAUAUGAUCACCGAAGUUAAGCAAUGUUGGGCUUGGUCAGUAAUUAGAUAGGUGACUGCUUUGGAAUAUCAGAUGUUGUA